UACGUAGGCAGCAAGCGUUGUUCGGAAUUACUGGGCGUAAAGAGUGUGUAGGCGGUUCUCUAAGUUCGGUGUGAAAUCUCCUGGCUUAACUGGGAGGGUGCGCCGGAAACUGGAGGGCUUGAGUAUGGGAGAGGAAGGCGGAAUUCCUGGUGUAGCGGUGAAAUGCGCAGAUAUCAGGAGGAACACCGGUGGCGAAGGCGGGUCUCUGGGCAGUAACUGACGCUGAGGAGCGAAAGCGUGGGGAGCGAACAGG
rnacentral:rRNA from 1 species